rnacentral:rRNA from 1 species
AUUGAACGCUAGCGGGAUGCUUUACACAUGCAAGUCGAACGAGUGGCGGACGGGUGGGUAAUAUAUCGGAACGUGCCCAGUCGCGGGGGAUAACUACUCGAACGAGUGGCUACUACCGCAUACUGUUGGAGCGGGCGAUAUCGGAUUAGCGAGUUGGUGGGGUAAAGGCUCACCAAGGCGACGAGCCUUAGCUGGUUUGAGAGGACGACCAGCCACACUGGGACUGAGACACGGCCCAGACUCCUACGGGAGGCAGCAGUGGGGAAUUUUGGACAAUGGGGGAAAGCCUGAUCCAGCAAUGCCGCGUGUAUGAGAAGGCUUUCGGGUUGUAAAGUACUUUUGGCAGAGAAGCGGUAUCUGAAGAAUAAGCACCGGCUAACUACGUGCCAGCAGCCGCGGUAAUUC